GAUGAACGCUGGCGGCGUGCCUAAUACAUGCAAGUCGAGCGAACUGAUUAGAAGCUUGCUUCUAUGACGUUAGCGGCGGACGGGUGAGUAACACGUGGGCAACCUGCCUGUAAGACUGGGAUAACUUCGGGAAACCGAAGCUAAUACCGGAUAGGAUCUUCUCCUUCAUGGGAGAUGAUUGAAAGAUGGUUUCGGCUAUCACUUACAGAUGGGCCCGCGGUGCAUUAGCUAGUUGGUGAGGUAACGGCUCACCAAGGCAACGAUGCAUAGCCGACCUGAGAGGGUGAUCGGCCAAACUGGGACUGAGACACGGCCCAGACUCCUACGGGAGGCGGAAGUAGGGAAUCUUCCGCAAUGGACGAAAGUCUGACGGAGCAACGCCGCGUGAGUGAUGAAGGCUUUCGGGUCGUAAAACUCUGUUGUUAGGGAAGAACAAGUACAAGAGUAACUGCUUGUACCUUGACGGUACCUAACCAGAAAGCCACGGCUAACUACGUGCCAGCCGCCGCCGUAA
rnacentral:rRNA from 1 species